rnacentral:pre_miRNA from 1 species
CAUGUUUCAGUGGGGUCCCUCGGCCUGGCCUGCACCCUCUCGCAAUCUGGGAACCCUCAGGGGAUGUCAGAGAACCAAUUCGGCCCCAUCCCGCAGGCCAGGCUGAGGGACCCCACUGGUGCACG